rnacentral:rRNA from 1 species
GACGAACGCUGGCGGCGUGCUUAACACAUGCAAGUCGAACGGUGAAGCUCCAGCUUGCUGGAGUGGAUCAGUGGCGAACGGGUGAGUAGCACGUGAGCAACCUGCCCCUGACUCUGGAAUAAGCGCUGGAAACGGCGUCUAAUACUGGAUACGAGAAGGGUCCGCAUGGGCACUUUCUGGAAAGUUUUUCGGUUGGGGAUGGGCUCGCGGCCUAUCAGCUUGUUGGUGAGGUAAUGGCUCACCAAGGCGACGACGGGUAGCCGGCCUGAGAGGGCGACCGGCCACACUGGGACUGAGACACGGCCCAGACUCCUACGGGAGGCAGCAGUGGGGAAUAUUGCACAAUGGGCGAAAGCCUGAUGCAGCGACGCCGCGUGAGGGAUGACGGCCUUCGGGUUGUAAACCUCUUUCAGCAGGGAAGAAGCGAAAGUGACGGUACCUGCAGAAGAAGCACCGGCUAACUACGU